rnacentral:lncRNA from 1 species
AUUUACUGUCUGCGAGUUGCUUUUAUUCUCCCGCAAGGAGCUGGAUCCCCGUGUUCCAAACUGGCACAGACCCACCAGCUUCAAAGCGGGGAAAAUUCCUCAUCGGGCAGGGGCUUUGGCGGGGCGCCCUGGUGAAUGGAAGUGCCUCUCCAGGGGGCAGCAGCCAGGAGAUGCCCAGGCCCAUGGUCUCAUUAACGGUGCACAACAUUCUGCCUCAUUUUCCUUGGCGCGAGGCGUGGGUUUUCCUAAGCCGAGAGGUGAGACGUGAACGCCGAGUGGAAGCCCAUGGCACGCUUGGGCUGCACAGCCGGCACUUUCUGAGCUCAGGCAAGUGGGUGGGCGUGUCUGAGACGCCGACGAUGGGUGGUCCGCUCACGGCGCAGGGUACCUGAGACAGCUGCAUCCUGGAGCAGAAAGACCGCGGCAGCUACUGUGCAGGGGAGAGUGGGGUGUUGACAGGCGGGUGGACGCCACGUCACCAUCUCAGCCCUGGUGGGAACCCCGCCGGGCUCUUACAACAUUGAGCUUUGGGUCUAAAUUCGUGCCUCAUGGCUGCCUCGGCUGAUGCCGACGUGGGUUAGCCGCCUCUGUGCCCCUCGGGUGGGGGCUGCACGGGCUCCCGCCGCUCACCCUGUGUGUCACCCCCAGGCCCAUUCCCCCGCAGCUCCUCUGCGGACCCCUGCCCAGCUCGCAUUUCUGGCUGCAGAAGCCCGCAGUCCCCUGUGGCGUGGUGGGAUUGCUCCUGCAGCUGGGGCAGUUGGGUCUGGGAGUCGCUGCCCCAGCGUUUGAAUAACAUCCUGGGCAGGGCCUG